rfam:Pedobacter africanus strain DSM 12126 genome assembly, contig: Ga0070588_101
GCGAAAAUAGCUCAGUUGGUAGAGCACGACCUUGCCAAGGUCGGGGUCGCGAGUUCGAAUCUCGUUUUUCGCU